rnacentral:tRNA from 1 species
ACUAUUUUGGCAGAUAAGUGCGGUGGAUUUAGAAUCUAUUUAUGUGAAUUUGUUUACACAUUUAGUA